GAACGGUAAAGACUACUGGAUUGUGAAAAACUCAUGGGGGUCAAGCUGGGGAGAGAGCGGGUACAUAAGGAUGGAGCGUAACAUUGCAGCUUCAGCCGGAAAAUGUGGAAUCGCUGUGGAGCCUUCAUAUCCGAUCAAAAAUGGCCAAAACCCACCAAACCCAGGACCUUCACCUCCAUCUCCGAUCAAGCCUCCAACCCAAUGUGACAGUUACUACACAUGUCCCCAGAGCAACACUUGUUGUUGUCUCUUUGAGUUUGGCAAGUACUGCCUUUCUUGGGGAUGUUGCCCACUAGAAG
rnacentral:lncRNA from 1 species